GGUGGAGAUCUGCUCUCUGAGAGGACCUUGGAAAGGGGACAGAAGAACCUUUCAUCUCUUGCCGUUUCGUUCCUCCAGGCAGUGAACUUUUCUGCAUGGAGACGAACCGGCAGAGGCAUUUUGGAAUUUUAAUCUGACACACAUGCGUGCUGAACCUGGUGGAGGAGGAAGAGACGCAGGAAGUAGCAGGGAGUGGAUGAGAAGUGAGAAGCCGUUGCUAGGAGAUGCAUUGGGAUGGAUGGAUGGGCUCAUAGCGAACUUCCGGUUAUGGGGCUUGAGAGCCAGGCUCCCGAGGAGAAAGGAAAAAGAACAUGACUUGGGUUCUUCUCCGUGUGCCCUGGCUGUCCUGGAACUUGCUACGUAGAAUGGACCGGCCUUGAAAUCACCGAGCUCUCCCAGCUGGGUCCUGAGUGUUGCUAUUAAAGGUGUCCGGCAACAAA